GCUUGAGCCACCGUGCCUGGCCUUUUUUUUGUUCGUUUAGACAGAGUCUUGCUCUGUUGCCCAGGCUGGAGUGCAGUGGCAUGAUCUCGGCUCACUGCAAACUCUGCCUCCUGGCUUCAAGAGAUUCUCCUGACUCUGCCUCCCAAGUACCUGGGAUUACAGGCGCCUGCCACCACACCCACCUAAUUUUUGUAUUUUUAGUAGAGAUGGGUUUCACCAUGUUGGUCAGGCUGGUCUUGAACUCCUAACCUCAAGCAGUCCACCAGCCUUGGCCUCCCAAAUUGCUGGGAUUACAGGCGUGAGCCACUGCGCCCGGCUACAAAAUCUUAAAUCUAAAUAACUCCUCUGUGACCACAACCUCCUGUUCUUCUCAUUCUCUCAAUUCCUACCAAACUUGUUUUUCCAUUCCAGUGACACCUGCAACUCCUCCUUCUGCCCCUUUGGCCAGUUUCUAGCUUGUCUUCUGUGUCAGCUGCCUUGCUAUAAAGAAAUACCUGAGACUGGGUAAUUUAUAAGAAAAGAGCUUUAAUUGGCUGUGGUUCUGCAGGCUGUACAGGAAGCAUAAUGCUGGCAUCUGCUUCUGGGGAGGCCUCAGGAAGCUUACAAUCAUGGCAGAAGGUGAAGGGGGAGCAAGUAUCUCACAUGGUGGGAGCAGGAGCAAGAGGGCAAAGGGGGAGGUGCUACACACUUUUUAAAAUGACCACAUCUCAUAACUCACGGCAAGAGGGUGGUGCUACACAUUCAUCAGAAACCCACCUCCAUGAUCCAGUCACCUCCCACCAGGCCCCUCCUCCAACAUUGCAGAUUACAACUGACCAUGAGAUUUGGGUGGGGACACAGAUCCAAACCAUAUAAUCUUCUGUUGCGGGAAGUCAGGGACCCCAAACGGAGGGACCGGCUGAAGCCAUGACAGAAGAACGUGGAUUGUGAAGAUUUCAUGGACAUUUAUUAGUUCCCCAAAUUAAUACUUUUAUAAUUUCUUAUGCCUGUCUUUACUGCAAUCUCUAAACAUAAAUUGUGAAGAUUUCAUGGACACUUAUCACUUCCCCAGUCAAUACCCUUGUGAUUUCCUAUGCCUGUCUUUACUUUAAUCUCUUAAUCCUGUCAUCUCGUAAACCGAGGAGGAUGUACAUCGCCUCAGGACCCUGUGAUAAUUGCGUUAACUGCACAAAUUGUACAGCAUGUGUGUUUAAACAAUAUGAAAUCUGGGCACCUUGAAAAAGAACAGGAUAACAGCAAUGUUUAGGAAACAAGAGAGAUAACCUUAAACUCUGACCUCCGGUGAGCCAGGCGGAACAGAGCCAUAUUUCUCUUCUUUCAAAAGCAAAUGGGAGAAAUAUCGCUGAAUUCUUUUUCUCAGCAAGGAACAUCCCUGGGAAAGAGAAUACGUGCCUGAGGGUGGGUCUCUGAAAUGGCCCCUUUGGGUGUGGCUGUCUUCUAUGGUUGAAACUGUAGGGAUGAAAUAAACCCCAGUCUCCCAUAGCACUCCCAGGCUUAUUAGGAAGAGGAAAUUCCCACCUAAUAAAUUGUGGUCAGACAGGUUGCUCUCAAAACCCUGUCUCCUGAUAAGAUGUUAUCAAUGACAAUGGUGCCCGAAACUUCAUUAGCAAUUUUAAUUUUGCCCCGGUCCUGUGAUCUCGCCCUGCCUCCCUUUGCCUUUGAUAUUCUAUUACCUUGUGAAGUACGUGAUCUUUGUGACCCACACCCUAUUCGUACACUCCCUCCCCUUUUGAAAGUCCCUAAUAAAAACUUGCUGGUUUUGCGGCUUGUGGGGCAUUACAGAAUCUACCGACAUGUGAUGUCUCCCCCGGAUGCCCAGCUUUAAAAUUUCUCUCUUUUGUACUCUGUCCUUUUAUUUCUCAAACCGGCCGACGCUUAGGGAAAAUAGAAAAGAACCUACGUGACUAUCGGGGCAGGUUCCCCGAUAAUCUUCCUUAUCCAUGCAGCUUAGAUUCCGCAUUCCAUUUCAGCCACAUUCUUGCGUAUGUUCUUGAUGCCCCUCUCCCAUUGUUUCAUUGCAGCUGCCAAGCAAAACCCUAAAUCAUCCAUCAACAUUCAAGUACCUAUAACCAAGAUGCUAAAAGAAUCACAACACUAUAUGUGUCUAUGGACAAGUUGUUCUCCAACCUCAGUUGGGCCCUCAAUGCUGCUCAUUUUCUAAACCAGCUCUUUUCUAUUCUCCACACUUCAUCUGUCUUCUCAUCAUUUGACCUCCCUAUAUAGCUUAGUGGGAGAUGCAAGCAACAGAAGCAAUUACAGACACUAUGUUAGGUGCUGUGACAGACAAAGUAUUGGGCCUGUGGGAGCACCCAGGAAGAAGGAAUAUCUAACUGAAGCUUGAGCAGUCAGUUAAGCCUUCUUUAAAACAGCUCCACUGGGCGCGGUGGCUCACGGCUAUAAUCCCAGCACUUUGGGAGGCU
rnacentral:lncRNA from 1 species